rnacentral:sRNA from 1 species
GGCCAACAUGGUGAAACCUCCGUCUCUAUUAAAAAUACAAAAAUUAGCCGAGAGUGGUGGCAUGCACCUGUCAUCCCAGCUACUCGGGAGGCUGAGGCAGGAGAAUCGCUUGAACCCGGGAGGCAGAGGUUGCAGUGAGCCGAGAUCGCGCCACUGCACUCCAACCUGGGUGACAGACUCUGUCUCCAAAACAAAACAAACAAACAAAAAGAUUUUAUUAAAGAUAUUUUGUUAACUCAGUAAA